rnacentral:piRNA from 1 species
UGGAAGGUGCUGUCCCGCGUGAUGGA